CCUACGGGAGGCAGCAGGGAGGAAUAUUGGUCAAUGGGCGAGAGCCUGAACCAGCCAAGUCGCGUGAGGGAGUACUGCCCUAUGGGUUGUAAACCUCUUUUGUCGGGGAGCAAAAGCCGGACGUGUCCGGCUGUGAGAGGACCCGAAGAAAAAGCAGCGGCUAACUCCGUGCCAGCAGCCGCGGUAAUACGGAGGAUGCGAGCGUUAUCCGGAUUUAUUGGGGUUAAAGGGAGCGUAGGGGGAUUGUUAAGUCAGUUGUGAAAGUUGGCGGCUCAACCGGAAAAUUGCAGUUGAAACUGGCAGUCUUGAUUUCAGUAGCGGUGGGCGGUAUUCGUGUUGUCGCGGUGCAAUGCUUAGCUCUCACG
rnacentral:rRNA from 1 species